AAAAAAAUAAAAGGUCUAAGAGACAUAGCGGGGGCAUUAUAGUUUAUAUAAAAAAAAACAAAUAUAUCCAGGAAUAGAAUAUCUAAAGGAUGGCUCUCAGUCACCAAAUAGAAUGUGGCUUAAACUGAAUAAAACAUUUUUUGGGACAGGAACACAUAUCUAUCUCUGUGCGGUGUACAUCCCCCCAUUAAAUUCAACACACACUGCAGAUGAUUUACUUAAUUUAGAGGCUGAGAUAGCAAAUUAUUCAAAAUAUGGGGAUAUAGCCCUAAUUGGGGACUUUAAUGCCAGAACUGGGGAACAAGCUGACUACAUUGAAAAUGAAAAUAAUAGUAUCCAAUUUUUACAGGAUAUGUUACCCCAAGACUAUGAUCUAGAUUCUCCUAUUAAAAGAAAUAAUUUAGAUAUUUUAAACCAACAAGGUAAUAAUUUACUGAACAUGUGUUUAUCCUCAAGACUUAGGAUCUUAAAUGGUAGAUAUUUAGGAGAUUCGUUGGGUUAUCACACAUAUUUUUCUAAAAAUGGCUGUAGCACAGUUGACUAUGCAAUAUUGAGCAAGGAUCUCCUGCCCUCAGUAGAAUAUUUUUGUACCUCUGAUCUGAAUUUUUUAUCGGACCAUGUACAGAUCUCAUUUAAACUAAAAUGUGAUAUAAAACAAUAUAUAAAUAAAAAGGACUUUAAUAAUAAUAAUAUGAAAAAAUUCACAACAUACAGAUGGACUGAUGUGUCACAUGGUAAGAUGUAUGAAGCAUUAAACUCUGAUGAAGUGAAAAAUAAGAUUUUAA
rnacentral:lncRNA from 1 species